GAUGAAGAACGUAGUGAAAUGCGAUAAUUAAUGUGAAUUGCAGAAUUCAGUGAAUCAUCGACUCUUUGAACGCACAUUGCGCCCCCUGGUAUUCCGGGGGGCAUGCCUGUCCGAGCGUCAUUGCUGCCCUCAAGCACGGCUUGUGUGUUGGGCUUCCGUCCCUGGCAACGGGGACGGGCCCAAAAGGCAGUGGCGGCACCAUGUCUGGUCCUCGAGCGUAUGGGGCUUUGUCACCCGCUCCCGUAGGUCCAGCUGGCAGCUAGCCUCGCAACCAAUCUUUUUAACCAGGUUGACCUCGGAUCAGGUAGGGAUACCCGCUGAACUUAAGCAUAUCAAUAAGCGGAGGA
rnacentral:misc_RNA from 1 species